UCUCUCUCUCUCUUUUGGAAUAAUAUUUUGCAUAUAGAGGAUCAACAAAGCAUGGGGUGAGUCUUACCUUCUUUGACGACUAGAGAAAACAAGCUUGGAGGAUGGCUUAGGUUUAGUGUUGGGUAUUUAUUGUAUGUUUUUCUCCUAGUUUUUCCUCUAUUUUUUCCAUCCUCGGCCCUUUCAAUCGGAUAGGAGUCCUGGAUUUAAAUUGCAUG
rnacentral:lncRNA from 1 species